rnacentral:rRNA from 1 species
UUGACCUCAAAUCGGGUGAGACUACCCGCUGAACUUAAGCAUAUCAAUAAGCGGAGGAAAAGAAACUAACAAGGAUCCCCUAGUAACUGCGAGU